CCGUAUCUAGCCUCACUCGUGUGAGAUAUCUCGCACACGGGCUGUGAGAGAUCGCUUUUAAUUUUUUGUGCUCUGCGAUCUGGAUUGUCUUUAUUGUUAUCCAGAUCAAUUGGUUAGAUUUUCUUUAGGAUAACUCUUAGUGUUAAUUUAGCCUGAUCCUUAUGCUAAUCCCUUGUGAAGCCGAGAUAAUUAAGCGAUCUUAUGGUUACCGGAACGGAUACGGUGGAGCAGGAAAGCAUCAGGAUGAUGCAGCUUCAGGAAGAGGAAAUGGAUGCGCUCAGUGAAGAGCGAAGGACGGCGUCAGGAGAUGCCAAGGAUGUUUCAGGAUUGAAACCAGGGACACCUCCAGGAUGGAGAUUGAGAGCCGGCAAAGGAGGGUUGGCGGGUCAUGAAGACUAAGGAACCGCGUCAGGACGAUGCUACAGGAUAGAGCAAGGACGGUUGGGUCAGGAUGGCCGCAGGAAAAGUUUUCAAGGAUUGAGCAGGGAGCACACAGUGUAGCGGGACAGCUAUAAAACGAACCGGGGGCACUGUUAACGCAGUGCCCCCAACUUUUUAU
rnacentral:sRNA from 1 species